AAUAUAAACAUGGAGGCGCAGUAUUCUAGUCGCUUUGGUUUGCUUGGAAGAUGAGUUUAAAGGCAUCAAAGGGCACAACUGUGAAGUUUCUGGUGCAUGCUUCGGUUGCCCAAAUUGGGGUGUGUGCUGGGAGUUAAGAUUUUUGGGCGCGUUGUAACGGCAUACAAUUUCCGUCCCAACUUUCGUGGAGACCCAGUUGGGUGGGAAAAAUAUUAUUUUUUUCCACUCCCUGGAUAUGAACCUGCAGUGCGGUGAUAAGCUGUGUGCAGAGUAGCCUGCUUUGCGUGACAUUUGGGGAUGUUCCACAAAAACAAAUCGUCAAAAAUGGCCAAUUUGUUGGUUUGUUCGGUCUGAAACAUAUGUUGCAAAAAAAGCUAAUGGCAAAUCAAAGUGUCAAGGAAAACUUCUAGACUGUUGCUUGUCAGACAUAUCAGGGAUUAUAGUGUGGUCUAAGUGGCGAUUCGGUGCAAAAGUGAUUUUCAAAAGGAAACUGCUUACACGGCAACGGUAAGUAAAUCAUGCAGGGAAACCCUACCGAACCUAUGCCGCAAGGUUUACUUGAUAUGUUGCCUCCAAAAUUUGU
rnacentral:sRNA from 1 species